GGUUAAGCGACUAAGCGUACACGGUGGAUGCCCUGGCAGUCAGAGGCGAUGAAGGACGUGCUAAUCUGCGAUAAGCGUCGGUAAGGUGAUAUGAACCGUUAUAACCGGCGAUUUCCGAAUGGGGAAACCCAGUGUGUUUCGACACACUAUCAUUAACUGAAUCCAUAGGUUAAUGAGGCGAACCGGGGGAACUGAAACAUCUAAGUACCCCGAGGAAAAGAAAUCAACCGAGAUUCCCCCAGUAGCGGCGAGCGAACGGGGAGGAGCCCAGAGCCUGAAUCAGUGUGUGUGUUAGUGGAAGCGUCUGGAAAGGCGCGCGAUACAGGGUGACAGCCCCGUACACAAAAAUGCACAUGCUGUGAGCUCGAUGAGUAGGGCGGGACACGUGGUAUCCUGUCUGAAUAUGGGGGGACCAUCCUCCAAGGCUAAAUACUCCUGACUGACCGAUAGUGAACCAGUACCGUGAGGGAAAGGCGAAAAGAACCCCGGCGAGGGGAGUGAAAAAGAACCUGAAACCGUGUACGUACAAGCAGUGGGAGCACGCUUAGGCGUGUGACUGCGUACCUUUUGUAUAAUGGGUCAGCGACUUAUAUUCUGUAGCAAGGUUAACCGAAUAGGGGAGCCGAAGGGAAACCGAGUCUUAACUGGGCGUUAAGUUGCAGGGUAUAGACCCGAAACCCGGUGAUCUAGCCAUGGGCAGGUUGAAGGUUGGGUAACACUAACUGGAGGACCGAACCGACUAAUGUUGAAAAAUUAGCGGAUGACUUGUGGCUGGGGGUGAAAGGCCAAUCAAACCGGGAG
rnacentral:rRNA from 1 species